rnacentral:rRNA from 1 species
CCCUGAGCGUGCCUCUGAAACUGGGUAACUUGAGGGCAGGAGAGGGGAGUGGAAUUCCCAGUGUAGCGGUGAAAUGCGUAGAUAUUGGGAGGAACACCAGUGGCGAAGGCGGCUCUCUGGCCUAACCCUGACGCUGAGGCGCGAAAGCGUGGGGAUCAAACAGGAUUAGAUACCCUGGUAGUCCACGCCGUAAACGAUGGGUGCUAGGUGUAGGAGGUAUCGACCCCUUCUGUGCCGUAGCUAACACAAUAAGCACC